rnacentral:piRNA from 1 species
UACCGUGGUGUUCAGCUCUGCAGCCC